rnacentral:rRNA from 1 species
GGCAGGGCUAGAGUUGGUCAGAGGGGGGUAGAAUUUCCACGUGUAGCAGUGAAAUGCGUAGAGAUGUGUAGGAAUAAGAGGGAAGGCAGCCCCUGGGCCAAAAAAAAAAUAAUGCACGAAGCGUGGGGAGCAAACAGGAUUAGUUACCCUGGUAGUCCACGCCCUAAACGAUGUCAACUAGUUGUUGGGGAUUCAUUUCCUUAGUAACGUAGCUAACGCGUGAAGUUGACCGCUUGGGGAGUACGGUCGCAAGAUUAAAACUCAAAGGAAUUGACGGGGACCCGCACAAGCGGUGGAGAUGUGGAUUAAUUCGAUGCAACGCGAAAAAC